rnacentral:lncRNA from 1 species
GUGCCACUUCACUCCAGCCUGGGUGACAGGGUGAGACUCUUCCUCAAAAAAAAUAGUUGAAUAGAUGAUUUAUGAUAUAGUCAUAUAAUAAAUAAAUACUAUACAACAAUGAGAAUAAUUGACCUACAGCUAAACACAAAAAUAUUGACCAAUCUUGCAUUUACUCAAUCUUAUAUUUACGCAAUCUACUAUUGAGUAAAGGGCACUGGAUACUAAAAAAUACAUAUUUUAUGAUUUCAUUUAUAUAAAGUACCAAAACAGGAUAGUAAUCUUCAUGAGCUUAGGAGGUGGUGGUAGUCUCUGCUUGGGAGCAUGACAAGGGCUUCAUGGCAACUGUUAUAUUCUGAAUUUUCUUUCAGUGCUGGCAUUCUGGAUAUGUUUCAUUUGUGCAAAUACAUAGAGCUAUAUAUUUAUGAUGCCCACUUUUCUACAUGUGUAUUUAUGCUCCAAAGUAGUUUACUUAAGUCAUCUAACAAUAUCUAGAAAUAAGUCUAACAAAAUAUGCAAGGACUAUACACCAUGAACUAUGCAGUAUUUCUGAGAGAAUUAAAAGGGCUAAUAAAUGGUAGGACAUGUCAUGAUUAGGGAUUGGAAGACUGAUUAUUUUAUGAAUCUCAUUUCUCCACAAAUUUAUCUAUAGAUUGAAUGUAAUUGCAAGACUCAUACAUAGAACGAGUUGAUUUAUAGAAACUAUAGUGAAAGGAUAAUCUUUUCAAUAAACGGUGUUAGUAUCAUGGGAUUCUUGGGUUAUCACUUCACCAGCUGGAAACCUCUGUGGCCAGUGGAUCCUUUGCCUGAGUUUUUCUUGGGCUCACUGGGCUUGUUUCACCCCUUCAGUCUGGCAGGCUGCGCUUGGCUUACGCUACCCUCCUGGAUCCCGUGCCUGCCAAGAGUGAGCUGAGUGGGGAGGGGUGUGUGAAUGAGUGAGCAUGGGGCCCAGCCACUGCUCAUAGCCAGGCAUGCUGGCUGUGGCAGGGUGGGCAGCUCCAGGCACUGGCAUGGGCGCUGGCUCCCUGCGAGGCUGAAACUGGACCAGGCGAACCAUAAGCAGCUUCCAUGGCUGGCACCAGGGAAUGCGGUGGUGCCCAGAAGCUUGGAAUCACCAGAAAGUGUGAAGCCCCAAAGAGGUUAUCACAGCCCUGGUUUGGGGAACUUCUAGGUCUGGGAUCCCCAAAGGGCCACAGCUCUUCUCUCCUUCUCUCUUCUCUCCUUCUCUCUUCUCUCCUUCUCUCUUCUCUCCUUCUCUCUUCUCUCCUUCUCUCCUUCUCUCUUCUCUCCUUCUUGUUGCCCACAACAUGGUGAGCAAGGGGGGUGUUUCAGCCUUGUUUGUGUUACAGCUCUUUCAGCUCUGCCAUUUGGCAAGUCCCUAGUUUUUGUCCUGUGUCCAGGAAGAAUGAGGUACCUAGACAAGUGGAGGGUGAGCAAGAUAAAGACGAGCUUUUUUGAGCAGUAGAACAGCUCAGAGGAAACCCACAGUGGGUAGCUUCUCUCCUCAACUGGGAUGUCCUGAUGAGUGUUCAGCUCUCAGCAGAGAGGAGACCCUGGAGUAGGUAGCUCCUAUCUGCAGCUGGUAGUCCCAAUGUCUGCUCAGCUCUCAGCAGAGAGGAGAACCCAGAGGGGGUAGCUCCUCUCCACAGGCAGGUCAUUCUGUCAUCUCCUCAAGUCUGGCUGAGCCCAGGGUUUUUAUGGGCUUCAGCGGGGAGGAAGUGUGUGCUGAUUGGUCCAUGGGUGGCCAUGGGUGGGCCUGGAAAAGGCAACAUAAGUUCCCACUCUAGUCUGCAGGACUGGCAGCCCAGCUCCCAGGCUUCAGGCCUUCCCUGGCUUGAAGGUGGGGCUUCACCAAGGGCCUACCUGUUUCCACCCUGGAGCCUGUCUGCCUCCUGCUGCUGCUUAUGUAACCCAGGCUUUUACUGCUGAGGGGUGCCUAUAAGCCAGCAUUGAGCUGCCCUCAGCCCGGCCUCAGCCUCCCUCUGGUGCUCGGUGGUGCACAAAGUCUAGACGGGGACAAGGCAGCAGGGGCUAGUGUGUCAGGGCUGCCCUAAGUGUGUGCACACCUGGCCAGGUUGCAAUAGUACCUAGUCUUGGCCUCAAUUUUGCUCCAGAUCAGAGCAGGCACAGGAACAGAGAGAGGCCAGGAAACAGGAGCAGGCAUUUCCAAGCCUGCUGGGACAAGAGGGACUUCCUGGGCCCCUGGGAGUGCAGAGAUGCCUGGGUGUGCAGCUGCAGCUUGGGUGGCUGCAGCUGCGGCUUGGGUGGCUGCAGCUGCAGCUUGGGUGGCUGCAGCUAUGCCUGGAGCUCAUGCCUGCUCCCACUCCUCAAGAGCACAGGGAUGUCCAGGCUUGGAGCCAUGGCUGGGCAGCUGCAGCUGCGCCCAGGGAGCAUGAGGCUCCUGCCCUGCCAACUCAGGAGCGGGCUGGCCUUCCACCUGUUUCUGGCUCCCUCCGGCUCCAUGGAGCAUGCAACCCUGGCCACACCUCCCCAGUGAAGCCAGUGUCAUGGCAGCAGCCACUCUAGAUGGGCCAUGGCUGCCAUCAUUAGGGCUUUACUAUACACAUGUUAAAAAGUAAUUAAACGUGGUUUCUACCCUCCUGACAUUAAAAACUGAUCAAUUCCAGAUGGAUUAUAGAUAUAGUUGUGGAAGACAAAACAAUCAAACUUUUAGAAAAAAGUCAAAGACAUUAUUUUCAGGUUUUCCAAGUUGGGAAAUGUGAUACAAAACUAUUCAGUUUAAAUAAAAAAUCAAUACCUUUAACUAUUAAAAUUGAGGACUGCUAUUUAUCCAAAGAUACAAUGAAGAGACUGAAAGGCAAAGAUUAAAAAAAGACUAAAGAUUUAAAAAAUUAAAUAUGUAUACACACAUGAAUGGAAUAUGUGAAAAAGUCUCCAAGUAAAGAAAAAAGGACAAUUCACUAGAAAUAGAAGAAAAGUCUUAAACAGUCUCAUCCCAAAGAAGAUAUCCUAAUGAACAGUGGACAUGAACAGGGGCUCAACUUCGUUAAUUAUCUCUCAUUCUCAAGGAAAAGCAAAUUAGACUGUGAAUAAAAUCUCCAUGUACCCACUAGGAUGACUACAAUUCAAAAGGCUGACCUAUCCAGGUGAAGAUGAGAGUGUGCAGCAUUGGAAAUUCUUACACAUUGCUGGAGAUUUAGAAGCUAAAGAAAGAGGACAAAUGAUUUGGAAGCAAAGAUAAGAAGGAAGAAGGAGAUGGGGUCUCGCCAUGUUUCCCAGGCUGGUCUCAA